GACGAACGCUGGCGGCGUGCUUAACACAUGCAAGUCGAACGGUAAGGCCCUUCGGGGUACACGAGUGGCGAACGGGUGAGUAACGCGUGAGUAACCUGCCCUUCACUCUGGGAUAACAGUUGGAAACGGCUGCUAAUACCGGAUAUUCAGCUCCUGUCGCAUGGUGGGGGUUGGAAAGUUUUGGUGGUGGAGGAUGGGCUCGCGUCCUAUCAGCUUGUUGGUGGGGUGAUGGCCUACCAAGGCGUCGACGGGUAGCCGGCCUGAGAGGGCGACCGGCCACAUUGGGACUGAGAUACGGCCCAAACCCCUAGGGGGGGCAGCAGGGGGGAAUAUUGCACAAUGGGGGGAAGCCUGAGGCAGCAACGCCGCGGGGGGGAUGACGGCCUUGGGGUUGAAAACCGCUUUCAGGAGGGACGAAGCGAAAGGGACGGUACCUGCAAAAGAAGCACCGGCUAACUACGU
rnacentral:rRNA from 1 species